rnacentral:rRNA from 1 species
GAGAUGUUGGGUUAAGUCCCGCAACGAGCGCAACCCUCGUCCUAUGUUGCCAGCGGGUAACGCCGGGGACUCAUAGGAGACCGCCGGGGACAACUCGGAGGAAGGUGAGGAUGACGUCAAGUCAGCAUGCCCCUUACACCUAGGGCUGCACGCAUGCUACAAUGGUCGGUACAACGGGCAGCGAUCCCGCGAGGGUGAGCGAAUCCCUCAAAGCCGGCCCUAGUUCGGAUUGGAGUCUGCAACUCGACUCCAUGAAGCCGGAGUCGCUAGUAAUCGCGGAUCAGCAAAGCCGCGGUGAAUACGUUCUCGGGGAUUGUACACACCGCCCGUCACGUCACGAAAGUCGGCAACGCCCGAAGUCAGUGGCCUAACCCUUUAGGGAAGGAGCUGCCGAAGGUGGGGUCGGUGAUUGGGACGAAGUCGUAACAAGGUAGCCGUACGGGAACGUGCGGCUGGAUCACCUCCUUUCUAAGGAGCA